rnacentral:rRNA from 1 species
AGGACGAACGCUGGCGGCGUGCUUAACACAUGCAAGUGGAGCGACGAACCAGGCUUCGGCCUGGGGCAGAGCCGCGAACGGGUGAGUAACACGUGGGUAACCUGCCCUGAUGAUUGGGACAACCCGAGGAAACUCGGGCUAAUACCAAAUGUGCCCUCUGGCCUCAAGGCCUCUGGGGAAAGGAAGCUUCGGCCUCCGCAUUGGGAUGGGCCCGCGGCCCAUUAGCUUGUUGGUGAGGUAACGGCUCACCAAGGCUACGAUGGGUAGCUGGUCUGAGAGGACGAUCAGCCACACUGGGACUGAAACACGGUCCAGACUCCUACGGGAGGCAGCAGUGGGGAAUUUUGCGCAAUGGGGGAAACCCUGACGCAGCAACGCCGCGUGGAGGAUGAAAUCCCUUGGGAUGUAAACUCCUUUCGAUAGGGAAGAUAAUGACGGUACCUAUAGAAGAAGCCCCGGCUAACUUCGUGCCAGCAGCCGC